AAUUUUCGGUGGCAUAGUAGUUAUAGGGUCCGCCUCGGAUGCGGAAGGUUGCAGGUUCAAACCCCGGCUGAGUCA